UCCGGGUUGGACCCGGCGGUCCCGCCAGACAUCGUAACUGGCAGCGAGGGUUGCGCUCGUUGCGGGACUUAACCCAACACCUCACGGCACGAGCUGACGACAGCCAUGCAGCAUCUGUGCACGCUCCCUUGCGGGUCCUCCCCGUUUCCGGGUCGUACCACGUGCAUGUCAAGCCCAGGUAAGGUGGGGAUGACGUUCGUCUGAC
rnacentral:misc_RNA from 1 species